rnacentral:rRNA from 1 species
UUAGGAAUAUUGCGCAAUGGACGAAAGUCUGACGCAGCGACGCCGCGUGGGUGAUGAAGGCCUUCGGGUUGUAAAGCCCUUUUUGCAGGGACGAAAAAAAUGACGGUACCUGUAGAAUAAGCACCGGCUAACUCCGUGCCAGCAGCCGCGGUAAUACGGAGGGUGCAAGCGUUACUCGGAAUCACUGGGUGUAAAGGGCGCGUAGGCGGCUCGAUAAGUUUGGUGUGAAAUCCCACGGCUCAACUGUGGAACUGCACUGAAUACUGUCGGGCUAGAGUGCAGGAGGGGAGGGUGGAAUUCAUGGUGUAGAGGUGAAAUUCGUAGAUAUCAUGAGGAACACCAGCGGCGAAGGCGGCCCUCUGGACUGUAACUGACGCUAAGGCGCGAAAGCGUGGGGAGC